UAGCAUGGGGAUGUGGGUGUCUGAUG
rnacentral:piRNA from 1 species